UACGAAGGGGGCUAGCGUUGUUCGGAAUUACUGGGCGUAAAGCGCGCGUAGGCGGUGAUCCAGGUCAGAGGUGAAAGCCCGGGGCUCAACUCCGGAAUUGCCUUUGAAACGGGAUCGCUAGAGUCCGAGAGAGGAUGGCGGAAUUCCUAGUGUAGAGGUGAAAUUCGUAGAUAUUAGGAAGAACACCGGUGGCGAAGGCGGCCAUCUGGCUCGGUACUGACGCUCAGGCGCGAAAGCGUGGGGAGCAAACAGG
rnacentral:rRNA from 1 species